rnacentral:misc_RNA from 1 species
UUUCCGUAGGUGAACCUGCGGAAGGAUCAUUACCGAGUGCGGGCCCUCUGGGUCCAACCUCCCAUCCGUGUCUAUUCAUACCCUGUUGCUUCGGCGGGCCCGCCGGCUGCCCCUCCUGGGGAUGCCGGCCGCCGGGGGGCUAACCUGCCCCCGGGCCCGUGCCCGCCGGGGACACCAACACUGAACACUGUCUGAAGGUUGCAGUCUGAGUUUUCAUAAAGGAAAAUUGUUAAAACUUUCAACAACGGAUCUCUUGGUUCCG